GAUGAACGCUGGCGGCGUGCCUAAUACAUGCAAGUCGAGCGAACGGACGAGAAGCUUGCUUCUCUGAUGUUAGCGGCGGACGGGUGAGUAACACGUGGAUAACCUACCUAUAAGACUGGGAUAACUUCGGGAAACCGUAGCUAAUACCGGAUAAUAUUUUGAACCGCAUGGUUCAAAAGUGAAAGACGGUCUUGCUGUCACUUAUAGAUGUAUCCGCGUUGCUUUAGCUAGUUGGUAAGGUAACGGCUUACCAAGGCAACGAUGAAUAGCCGACCUGAGAGGGUGAUCGGCCACACGGGAACUGGGACACGCUCCAGACUCCUACGGGAGGAAGCAGAAGGGAAUCUUCGGCAAAGGGGGAAGGCCUGACGGGGAACGGCGGCGUGGGUGAUGAAGGUCUCCGGAUCGUAAAACUCUGUUAUUAGGGAAGAACAUAUGUGUAAGUAACUGUGCACAUCUUGACGGUACCUAAUCAGAAAGCCACGGCUAACUACGUG
rnacentral:rRNA from 1 species